rnacentral:misc_RNA from 1 species
AUUUUCGAUUGCUUCAUAAAAAUAAGGACACGCACUCUUUGCCCAUAUAAAUCUAAAAAUCACACCAUUAAUUAUAAUUAUAUUAAACUAUUACUACAUCAUCCAUGGUUUUUCUUCCCAUUUUUUCCAGGCUUAGUAGCAUUGGGAUGAAACAACGUGCCUCGAUGAUGAUUAUUAUGUCUUCCUACUCUUUGUGGAGGCAUUUUAGUAUGAGUUUCUGGUCCUCUAUAAUCAAUUUCAUAAAUUUCUGAGGCAUUCACUUUUGAUAAAUCCAUUUUUCCUGAGGAAGGCGAGGCGAGGAGGAGAAGGAAGAAGAUGACAAUGAAGUUACACUUAAGCUUCAUGGUAAAGAUCAAGAUCUUGAUCAAGAAUGUAUAUAUAUGUUUUAUUUUAUGCUAAAAGAGUGAUGAAAUUUGCUAAUGAGAAUUAUUAUAAGUACUCAUUGGGGAAAAA